AUUGAACGCUGGCGGCAUGCCUUACACAUGCAAGUCGAACGGCAGCGGGCCCUUCGGGGUGCCGGCGAGUGGCGAACGGGUGAGUAAUGCAUCGGAACGUACCCGGGAGAGGGGGAUAACCGGCCGAAAGGCUGGCUAAAACCGCAUGAACUCGGAAGAGCAAAGCGGGGGACCUUCGGGCCUCGCGCUCUCGGAGCGGCCGAUGUCCGAUUAGGCUAGUUGGUGGGGUAAAGGCCCACCAAGGCGACGAUCGGUAGCGGGUCUGAGAGGACGAUCCGCCACACUGGGACUGAGACACGGCCCAGACUCCUACGGGAGGCAGCAGUGGGGAAUCUUGGACAAUGGGCGCAAGCCUGAUCCAGCAAUGCCGCGUGGGUGAAGAAGGCCUUCGGGUUGUAAAGCCCUUUCGGCGGGGAAGAAAUCGGUCAGGCGAAUAGUCUGGCUGGAUGACGGUACCCGCAGAAGAAGCACCGGCUAACUACGUG
rnacentral:rRNA from 1 species